rnacentral:rRNA from 1 species
GACGAACGCUGGCGGCGUGCCUAAUACAUGCAAGUCGAGCGAAGUUUUUCUGGUGCUUGCACCGGAAAAACUUAGCGGCGAACGGGUGAGUAACACGUAAAGAACCUGCCUCAUAGACUGGGACAACUAUUGGAAACGAUAGCUAAUACCGGAUAACAGCAUUAACUGCAUGGCUGAUGUUUAAAAGUUGGUUUUGCUAACACUAUGAGAUGGCUUUGCGGUGCAUUAGCUAGUUGGUGGGGUAAAGGCCUACCAAGGCGACGAUGCAUAGCCGACCUGAGAGGGUGAUCGGCCACACUGGGACUGAGACACGGCCCAGACUCCUACGGGAGGCAGCAGUAGGGAAUCUUCCGCAAAGGGCGAAAGCCUGACGGAGCAACGCCGCGUGAGUGAAGAAGGAUUUCGGUUCGUAAAGCUCUGUUGUUAGGGAAGAAUGAUUGUGUAGUAACUAUACACAGUAGAGACGGUACCUAACCAGAAAGCCACGGCUAACUACGUG